AAGGAAAGUAGUUUUUUUUAUGUUGUUGAGUAAGUGGUUUUUCUUAUUUUGGUUAGUGUUUGCUGUUAGGAUUGGGGUUCAGAGUUUUGACUAUAUUAGGGUCAGUUUGGGGAUUUGUGAAUGGUUUUUAGAGAGAAUGGUUAGGUAAGAGAUCAAAGUUUGAACUAGGGGUUAGGCUUUGGGGUGAUGGGGAGGGUAGAGAUUAAACAGGUUUAUUUCGAGUGUUGAUCAUGUUUUAAUGUCGGGUUUAGCAGUGAAAAGCACGGAUGAGGGCUAAGGUUAAUGUUUUCUACGAUCAUGCCUCAUCCAAUACUAGAAUAGG